UACGUAGGGUGCGAGCGUUAAUCGGAAUUACUGGGCGUAAAGCGUGCGUAGGCGGUUCGUUAAGUUCGUUGUGAAAGCCCCGGGCUCAACCUGAGAACUGCAAUGGAAACUGGCGGGCUUGAGUGUGGCAGAGGGGGGUGGAAUUCCGCGUGUAGCAGUGAAAUGCGUAGAGAUGCGGAGGAACACCGAUGGCGAAGGCAGCCCCCUGGGCCAACACUGACGCUCAGGCACGAAAGCGUGGGGAGCAAACAGG
rnacentral:rRNA from 1 species